UUGGACAAUGGGCGAAAGCCUGAUCCAGCCAUGCCGCGUGAGUGAUGAAGGCCUUAGGGUUGUAAAGCUCUUUCGCCAGGGAAGAUAAUGACGGUACCUGGAUAAGAAGCCCCGGCUAACUUCGUGCCAGCAGCCGCGGUAAUACGAAGGGGGCUAGCGUUGUUCGGAAUUACUGGGCGUAAAGCGCACAUAGGCGGCUUUCCAAGUUGGAGGUGAAAUCCCCGGGCUUAACCCGGGAACUGCCUCCAGAACUGAAAGGCUAGAGUCCGAGAGAGGUGAGUGGAAUUUCCAGUGUAGAGGUGAAAUUCGUAGAUAUUGGAAAGAACACCGGUGGCGAAGGCGGCUCACUGGCUCGGGACUGACGCUGAGGUGCGACAGCGUGGGGAGCAAACA
rnacentral:rRNA from 1 species